rnacentral:rRNA from 1 species
UGUAUGUACCUUAUGAAUAAGGAUCGGCUAACUCCGUGCCAGCAGCCGCGGUAAUACGGAGGAUCCGAGCGUUAUCCGGAUUUAUUGGGUUUAAAGGGUGCGUAGGCGGCCUUUUAAGUCAGCGGUGAAAGUCUGUGGCUCAACCAUAGAAUUGCCGUUGAAACUGGGAGGCUUGAGUAUGUUUGAGGCAGGCGGAAUGCGUGGUGUAGCGGUGAAAUGCUUAGAUAUCACGCAGAACCCCGAUUGCGAAGGCAGCCUGCCAAGCCAUGACUGACGCUGAUGCACGAAAGCGUGGGGAUCAAACAGGAUUAGAUACCCUGGUAGUCCACGCAGUAAACGAUGAUCACUAGCUGUUUGCGAUACACAGUAA